rnacentral:misc_RNA from 1 species
UCAAACUUGGUCAUUUAGAGGAAGUAAAAGUCGUAACAAGGUCUCCGUUGGUGAACCAGCGGAGGGAUCAUUAUCGAGUUUACAACUCCCAAACCAUUGUGAAUCUUACCUUUUCGUUGCUUCGGCGGGAUCGCCCCGGGCGCUUCGGUGCCCCGGAUUCAGGCGCCCGCCGGGGGACCUAAACUCUUGUAUUAUAGUGGAUUUCUGAGUGGAUUACACAAAUAAUCAAAACUUUCAACAACGGAUCUCUUGGUUCUGGCAUCGAUGAAGAACGCAGC